CUGAUGCCCGCGUCGCGA
rnacentral:snRNA from 1 species